CAGUAGCCGCGGUAAUACAGAGGAUGCAAGCGUUAUCCGGAAUGAUUGGGCGUAAGGCGUCUGUAGGUGGCUUUUCAAGUCCGCCGUCAAAUCCCAGGGCUCAACCCUGGACAGGCGGUGGAAACUACCAAGCUGGAGUACGGUAGGGGCAGGGGGAAUUUCCGGUGGAGCGGUGAAAUGCGUUGAGAUCGGAAAGAACACCAACGGCGAAAGCACCCUGCUGGGCCGACACUGACACUGAGAGACGAAAGCUAGGGGAGCAAAUGGGAUUAGAUACCCCCGUAGUCCCUGUCUCUUAUAC
rnacentral:rRNA from 1 species